rnacentral:rRNA from 1 species
GAUGAACGCUGGCGGCGUGCCUAAUACAUGCAAGUCGAGCGAACGGACGAGAAGCUUGCUUCUCUGAUGUUAGCGGCGGACGGGUGAGUAACACGUGGAUAACCUACCUAUAAGACUGGGAUAACUUCGGGAAACCGGAGCUAAUACCGGAUAAUAUUUUGAACCGCAUGGUUCAAACGUGAAAGACGGUCUUGCUGUCACUUAUAGAUGGAUCCGCGCUGCAUUAGCUAGUUGGUAAGGUAACGGCUUACCAAGGCAACGAUGCAUAGCCGACCUGAGAGGGUGAUCGGCCACACUGGAACUGAGACACGGUCCAGACUCCUACGGGAGGCAGCAGUAGGGAAUCUUCCGCAAGGGGCGAGAGCCUGACGGAGCAACGCCGCGGGAGUGAUGAAGGUCUUCGGAUCGUAAAACUCUGUUAUUAGGGAAGAACAGAUGUGUAAGUAACUGUGCACAUCUUGACGGUACCUAAUCAGAAAGCCACGGCUAACUACGUG